rnacentral:lncRNA from 12 species
AGAUAUUACAAAGCCAAUUUGAAUAAAGUUUUAGCUCACCAAGCAGUCAAAGGCAUCAAAGACAUUUAUCUCCUUGCAAAAGAUAUUUUAUGUGGAAGAUUCAAAUUGGCAAAACUUUUUAAUUGGUUCACUUCUACAGUGCAACACAUAAAAAGUUUAUGGAGGCAACAAUUCAUUAGAUGCUGCAGCAUCAGGCCAGAGCACCAACUAUUUAUAAUGCAGCCUGCCAUUCACACAUGCGGCCACAUCAGAAUGAGAUAUGAAAGUUCACCAAGUGGGAACGACGGUCGAGGGGUUGGGACGAAGGUGACUGGUGUGAUUCAGUCUGGUGGGACCGAUAGCCCAAGAGGAUCAGAACAUUGCUCAAGGGUAAGGGGCAAGAGUAGGUCUCAGGGUUAAGGUUAAUAGAAAUCAGAGUCAGCAUGUCCCUCAGAUAACAUGGAUCUCUGAAGCCCACAGACUUCAUGGCAUGAUCUUUUUCCUUUCAGGUGUAACAGGUGAGUUC